rnacentral:rRNA from 1 species
UACGUAGGGUGCGAGCGUUAAUCGGAAUUACUGGGCGUAAAGCGUGCGCAGGCGGCUUCGCAAGUCAGGCGUGAAAUCCCCGGGCUUAACCUGGGAAUGGCGUCUGAAACUACGGAGCUGGAGUGUGGCAGAGGGAGGUAGAAUUCCACGUGUAGCGGUGAAAUGCGUAGAUAUGUGGAGGAAUACCGAUGGCGAAGGCAGCCCCCUGGGCUAACACUGACGCUCAGGCACGAAAGCGCUGGGGAGCAAACAGGG